GACGAACGAGGGAGGAGGGAAGAAUACAGGCAAGUAGAACGCUGAAGAGAGGAGCUUGCUCUUCUUGGAUGAGUUGCGAACGGGUGAGUAACGCGUAGGUAACCUGCCUUGUAGCGGGGGAUAACUAUUGGAAACGAUAGCUAAUACCGCAUAACAAUGGAUGACACAUGUCAUUUAUUUGAAAGGGGCAAUUGCUCCACUACAAGAUGGACCUGCGUUGUAUUAGCUAGUAGGUGAGGUAAUGGCUCACCUAGGCGACGAUACAUAGCCGACCUGAGAGGGUGGUGGGCCACACUGGGACUGAGACACGGCCCAGACUCCUACGGGAGGCAGCAGUAGGGAAUCUUCGGCAAUGGGGGCAACCCUGACCGAGCAACGCCGCGUGAGUGAAGAAGGUUUUCGGAUCGUAAACUGCUGUUGUAAGUGAAGAACGGGUGUGAGAGUGGAAAGUUCACACUGUGACGGUAGCUUACCAGAAAGGGCCGGCUCCCUACGUC
rnacentral:rRNA from 1 species